GCACAAGCGGUGGAGCAUGUGGUUCAAUUCGACGCAACGCGAAGAACCUUACCAGCUCUUGACAUGCCCGGUAUGGGGCCGAGAGAUCGGCUCCUUCAGUUCGGCUGGCCGGUGCACAGGUGCUGCAUGGCUGUCGUCAGCUCGUGUCGUGAGAUGUUGGGUUAAGUCCCGCAACGAGCGCAACCCUCACCUUCAGUUGCCAUCAGGUUAAGCUGGGCACUCUGAAGGAACUGCCGGUGACAAGCCGGAGGAAGGCGGGGAUGACGUCAAGUCCUCAUGGCCUUUAUGGGCUGGGCUACACACGUGCUACAAUGGCGGUGACAAUGGGACGCGAAGGGGCAACCCUUGGCCAAUCUCAAAAAGCCGUCUCAGUUCGGAUUGUCCUCUGCAACUCGAGGGCAUGAAGCUGGAAUCGCUAGUAAUCGCGGAUCAGCACGCCGCGGUGAAUACGUUCCCGGGCCUUGUACACACCGCCCGUCACACCAUGGGAGUUGGUUUUACCCGAAGGCGCUGCGCCAACCGCAAGGAGGCAGGCGACCACGGUAAGGUCAG
rnacentral:rRNA from 1 species